CAUCUAUUCUAGCCAACUGAACACAUUAACUAUCUGUAAUGCCCCAGAUUUCUUUUGCUAAUUGAUUGUGCCAAUAUGCUUAAAUAUAUAGAUGAAUAAGGUAAAGUCGAUAUUUGUAGACUAUGAUAUAAAAUAGGAAAAGGAAAAUGAGAGAGAGAGAGAGAGAGAGAGAGAGAGAGACUAUGGGAAAUAAAUGGAAGAGGCGUGUUGGCAUUUGAACCUUGGACCUCUCAGUAGUAGGCUGAAUACCAGUUGGCCUAUGUGGUGCUUUUGACUAAAUAGCAGAUUUUAGCUCUUUAAGCUUUCCAAAACGAGAGGAAAGAAAAUCCUAUAUGGGCUCAAGGCCCAGUCAGACUUGGCGUAGCCAUUGGUCGCUCCUUGCGCCGCUGUACGCUGCGCCCAAAUCCUGUUUCUCUCCUGUUACCCCUCACCAAAGCCUUCCUCUGGUCUUCCCAACAGAGGUUGCUGCCGUCGCUGCUGCUGGUGGUGGUUGCCGCCGCCGUGAGCCGCGAGGUUGCUGCUCUCCCCGACGCAUCUCCUCUCCGUGGUCGUUGCCGAGCAGGGGUGGCUGCUGGGCGUCGUGUCGCUAGCAGUAAAUCCUGAGGACGACAUGCAUGGAAGUCUUGGGAGUAGCAUCUUCACCGUUUUCACUUCACGGAACUCACACCUAUUGUCCUUUAGGACCGUGUUUUGAGAACCUAGUAUAGUUGUACUUUACUACCUGUGGUGGUUCAUCUUGAAUUGGAGAGAUACCCUCUUGGUCUGUAUGGCUUAGCUAAUUUCCCCUUAAGACUAACGCUAUCGCCUAAAGUUACCGAGGAUGUUCUCGGUUAUGGUAUUGUAGCCUUGUGCUUUACACCGGUGCUAGUUCUUUGCGAUAUAUAUACUAUAUGAAUUGCAUGU